CACGGGUUACACUGCUUCGCUGCUGCGCAUCUUUCCUGCGCUUGCUCAGCCAAGAUCGACUGCGGCUCCACAACCCAACCGAAUUCAUCGCCGCACUCCAUUUUUUUUUUGCCUCGCUGUGUUCUCAGUUGUGUGUUGCCGGCUUCUUAAGGAUGGAGGACCCCGCCGCGCAGGAGGUUGUCGUGACCCCGUGGACGGUGGAGGGUGACGUGAACUAUGACAAGCUCAUCAAACAUUUUGGGUGCCAGGCGAUCGACGAAAAGCUGCUGGAGCGGAUGGAGCGGCUGACCAGGAAGAAACCCCAUCACUUUCUGCGCCGCGGCAUCUUCUUCUCCCACCGUGAUUUGAACUUAAUCCUCGAUGCAUACGAGAAGGGACAGCCUUUCUACCUGUACACCGGCCGUGGUCCCAGCAGCGAGUCGAUGCACGUUGGCCACCUGAUACCUUUCAUGUUCACCAAGUGGCUGCAGGACACCUUCCAUGUGCCGCUGGUGAUUCAGCUCACCGAUGACGAAAAGUUCUUUUUCAAGGACUUGACAAUGGACGAGAUCGAUAAGAUGACCACGGAAAACUUGAAGGACAUCAUCGCCUUUGGCUUUGACCCGAAGCUGACGUUCAUCUUCAGGGACUUUGAGUACGUGGGACGGAUGUAUCGCAUUGUCGCACGCAUCGAGAAGGCGUACACGGCUAGCCAGGUGCGGGGCUGCUUCGGCUUCAAGAUGGAGGACAACUGCGGCCGCUGGAUGUUCCCUGCGAUUCAGGCAGCACCCUCCUUCUCGGCGGCGUUUCCACACAUUUUUCCGCAGGAGAAGGGCAACGUCUUCUGCAUGAUUCCGCAAGCGAUCGACCAAGACCCGUACUUCCGUCUUACGCGCGACGUGGCGCCGCGCAUGGGAUAUUUGAAGCCAGCCGUUAUCCACUCCAAGUUCUUCCCGGGUCUUAGUGGGUCGAAGGGCAAGAUGAGCUCAUCCACCGGCGCUGCCGUCUUUCUGACGGACACCCCCAAGAUGAUCAAAGACAAGAUCAACAAACACGCCUUCAGCGGUGGUGGCGCAGAUAAGAAGGAGCAGCUGCUUCUUGGUGGUAACACCAACGUCGACGUACCUAUGCAGUGGCUCCGCUUUUUCCUCGAGGAUGACGAGGAGUUGACGCGCCUCCAGAAGGACUACAUGCUUGGCCGUAUCAUGACCGGUGACGUGAAGAAAGUCCUCAUUCAACAAAUCACCAGCAUCGUGACGGCACACCAGGAAGCGCGGAAAAAGGUGACGGAGGCCGAUGUGGAGCUCUUCACUGCCGUCCGCGCCAUGGGACCGGCGAAGGAGGAGGCGGAGUCAAGGAAGUAAAAUGGCCGCAGCGGCUAGUACAGAACUGUCUGCGUGUGCGCGGGGCGGAGUGGGACGCGCGCACUCGACGAUCCCGUGCGACUUUGGUGCGAAGCGACGUGCAGGCGCGCAGCUCAAGAAUGAGAGGGUUAGCAACAGUCUCAGACACGUAAGUGCCCGCGUUGUUGCCUUUCUACGCUCGGUCACGCAGUGGGAUAGGCACUUUGCGCGGGCCUUCUCUCCCAUCACAGUAGGAAGGAAGCUCCCCCGCCGCGCAGCUGCCACGUGAAGGAAUGAAUUUGGCGAUGCCAGACGAUAUACAACUAAUGUGUCUCACUACUUCCCCUUCUCUCUUGCUGGCAACGUGGCAUCUCAAUCUGUGUGCAGGGGUCCGUUCGCGAGCUAGACAAUAACACGCAAGCUUCUUGUUCGCUGGCUCUUUCGCUGCGAGGGGGAAGGGAUCACUGCAUUCGCUUUUUUUGUGUGUGCUGUCUCUAUGCGCAUGCGCCGCUGCCCUUUCCACCACGCGCGAAGCGACAUACGUGCACUGUGCAUGUGUGUUGAGGUUGCCAGGGAAGGGAGAUCGAGAGAGCCAUGAGGAGGAAAAGGGGCCCUGGUUGCAACCGCUGAAGCCCCUCGGCGCUUUCCCCCUUUUGUUGCAGACAACA
rnacentral:misc_RNA from 1 species